rnacentral:hammerhead_ribozyme from 1 species
AUCCAAUUGACGAGUCCCGAACAGGACGAAACGUUUGUCUGGGAU